rnacentral:tRNA from 1 species
UCCCUGGUGUCUCAGAUGGUAAAGAAUCCACCUGCAAUGCUGAAGACCUGGGUUUGAUCCCUGGCUUGGGAA